AGCGAACGCUGGCGGCGUGCUUAACACAUGCAAGUCGAACGUGAAAGGGAGCAAUCCCAAGUAAAGUGGCGUACGGGUGAGUAACGCGUAGGUAAUCUACCCCAGAGUCUGGAAUAACCUGCCGAAAGGCGGGCUAAUACUGGAUAGAGCGAUGGAAUCCGUAAUUGGGUUUUUCGGGAAAGGGAGGAAGCAAUUCCCUUCGCUCUGGGAUGAGCCUGCGUCUCAUUAGCUAGUUGGUGGGGUAACGGCUCACCAAGGCUUUGAUGGGUAGCUGGUCUGAGAGGAUGAUCAGCCACACUGGAACUGAAACACGGUCCAGACUCCUACGGGAGGCAGCAGUGGGGAAUCUUGCGCAAUGGACGAAAGUCUGACGCAGCAACGCCGCGUGAGUGAAGAAGGCCU
rnacentral:rRNA from 1 species